UAUGCCACUUUGAAACUCAAUACGAAUGUUGGCAUGCAUGGAGUGGUGCAGUCAUUGUUGCAGGGUUUGCCCCACCAGAUUGGAACCCAUCUAUGGUGACAUUUCCGUCGAUUCUUGCAGUGUCUGCAAUUUAUGUGGAAAGGUUCUGUUAGAUUUGGACGCAUCGCUUCACGUGAUACUUCCAGACAAGAAUGCUGAUAAAAGUUCCAAAAUCAGAAACGACAAGAAUGUACAACCUCAAAAACAAGAAACAUAGAUACAAGUCAGACUUGAUCAGAGGCAUAGUUCUGUGUGGCUUAGCAUCUUUAAAUUUACUAUCUUAAACAAUAAAGCUUAUAGUUAUCACAGAUCUCAAAUUUACAGAUUAUGUUAAUUAGGUAUUUUUUUCA